CAGCCGCCGCGGGAAUACGUAGGGUGCGAGCGUUAAUCGGAAUUACUGGGCGUAAAGCGUGCGCAGGCGGUUUUGUAAGACAGGCGUGAAAUCCCCGGGCUCAACCUGGGAAUGGCGCUUGUGACUGCAAAGCUAGAGUGCGGCAGAGGGGGAUGGAAUUCCGCGUGUAGCAGUGAAAUGCGUAGAUAUGCGGAGGAACACCGAUGGCGAAGGCAGCCCCCUGGGCCAAUACUGACGCUCAUGCACGAAAGCGUGGGGAGCAAACAGGAUUAGAUACCCCCGUAGUCCCUGUCUCUUAUAC
rnacentral:rRNA from 1 species